CUGGUGGUCACACAACCUCCUCUCUUGCAGCCUCCACCACGGCCCCAUCGGUUUUCCCACUGGCCCCCAGCUGCGGGGCCACCUCCGGACCCACAGUGGCCCUGGCCUGCCUGGUGUCCGGCUACUUCCCUGAGCCUGUCACUGUGUCCUGGAACUCCGGCUCCUUGACCAGCGGUGUGCACACCUUCCCGUCCGUCCUGCAGUCCUCGGGGCUCUACUCUCUCAGCAGCAUGGUGACCGUGCCCCCCAGCAAGUGGGCCAGCGACACCUUCAUCUGCACCGUGGCCCACCCAGCCAGUAACACCAAGGUGGACAAGAGAGUGACCAAACCGCCACCUUCUGAAGAAUGCAAAUGUCCGAAAUGUCCAGAAUGUAAUAUGCUGGGAGGACCUUCGGUCUUCAUCUUCCCCCCGAAACCCAGGGACACCCUCUCCAUUUCCCGAACCCCUGAGGUCACAUGCAUGGUGGUGGACCUGGAAGAACCUGAGGUCCAGAUCACCUGGUUCGUGGACAACCAGGAGGUGCACACGGCCAAGACAAAUUCGCGAGAGGAGCAGUUCAACAGCACCUUCCGUGUGGUCAGUGUCCUCCCCAUCCAGCACCAGGACUGGCUCAAGGGGAAGGUCUUCAAGUGCAAGGUCAACAAUAAAGGUCUCCCAUCCCCCAUUGAGAAGACCAUCUCCAAGGCCAGAGGGGAUCCCCAGCAGCCCAGUGUGUAUGUCCUGCCCCCACCCCGGGACGAGAUGACUAAGAACACCGUCAGUGUGACCUGCCUGGUCAAAGACUUCUACCCACCUGACGUUGAUGUGGAGUGGCAGAGCAGCGGCCAGCAGUUACCAGAGGCCAGUGUCCGAACAACCACGCCCCAGCUGGACGCGGACGGCAGCUACUUCCUCUACAGCAAGCUCUCGGUGGACAAGGCGCGCUGGCAGCGGGGAGACGUCUUCACGUGUGCAGUGCUGCAUGAAGCCCUCCACAACCACCACACACAGAAGUCCAUCUCCCAGUCUCCGGAGCUGCUCCUGGACGACAGCUGUGCCGAGGACCAGGAUGGGGAGCUGGACGGGCUGUGGACCACCAUCUCAAUCUUCAUCACCCUCUUCCUGCUCAGCGUGUGCUACAGCGCCACUGUGACCCUCUUUAAGGUGGGCGUCCCCACACGUCCCUUCACUGCAGCCUGCUGUCCCCGUGCUGUCCCCACACUAUCCACGUGCUAUCCCCAUCUGUCCACAUGCUGUCCACACGCUGUCCAUAUGCUGUCCCCAUGCCAUCCUCACACUGUCCACAUGCUGUCUCCACACUGUCCCCAUGUUGUCACCAUGCUGUCCUCGACAGUCCCCUCACUUCGGCCCACUCUCCCUACACUGUCCCCAUGCUAUUCCCAUGCUGACCCCAUGCUGGCCACACACUGACCCAGAAUUGUCCCCAUGUGGUCCCCACACUAUCCACGUGCUGUCCACACGCUGUCCAUAUGCUGUCCACGUGCUGUCCCCGCACUAUCCCCACAUUGACCCCACAUUGACCCCACACCGAACCAAAACUGUCCCCACAUUGACCACACACUGUCUCCACACUAUCCCCACGCUAUCCCCACACUGACCCAAAAUUGUCCCCACGUUGACCUCAUCCUGUCCCCAUGCUGUCCCCACAUUGACCCCAAACUGACUUGACACUGUCCUCUCUGUGUCCAUGUGCUGUCCCUUCAUUACUUCCUCAAUGUCCACACUGUUCCCACACCAUCCCCAUGCUGUCCCCACACGGUCCCUUCUGUGUCCACAUGCAGUCCACAUGCUGUCCCCACACUGGCUCUUCUGUGUCCACAUGCAAUCCACAUGCUGUCCCCACACUGUCCCCUCUGUCCCCACACUGUCCCCACUCUGCCCCAUCUGUGUCCCCACACUGUCCCUUCACUGACUCCUCAUGCCCACUUGCUGUCCACUCGCUGUCCCUGCACUAUCCUCUCACUUACCCCAUGAUGUCCAUUCUGUCUCCACAGAAUCCCCAUGCUGUCUACAUGCCAUCAUCUCACUGUCCCCAUGAUACCGCAUACUGUCCCCACACUGUCCCUUCACUGACUACUCACUGCCCCCUUGCUGUCCCCAUGCAGUCCCCAUGCUGCUCUUGACCACCCCCUCACUGUUGUCUGCUGUCCCCACACUAUCCCCACGCUAUCCCCACACUCUCUCCAUGCUGUCACAUGUUGUCCCCAUGCUGUCCUUACGUUCCCAUGCUGUCCCCACACCAUCAUCUCACUACAGCCCACUGUCCCUAUGCUGUUCCCAUGCUGUCCCCACACUGACACCACACUGUCCCUAUGCUAUCCCCAGGCCAUCUCCAGGCAGUCCACACACUAUCCCCAUGCUUACCCUAUGCUGUCCCCACGCUGACACUAAACUGUCCCCACACUGUCCCAACAUUAACUCAUGUUGACCUACACUGCCCCCCACACUGUCCCUAUAAUAUGGCCCAUUGUCCUCAUGCUGUCCCCACACUGUCCUCGUACUGUCCCCACAUGAUGGUCCGCUGUCCCCUCACUGUCCCCAUGAUUACCCCAUGCUGCCCCAUCACUGUCCCAAGUCCCCAGCUGUCCCCAUGAUGUCCACACAUUAUCCCCACACUGUCCCAUUGCUGUCCCACACUGUCUCCAUGAUGAUCUCGCACUGUCCCCACACUGUCCCCUUACUAUCCCUACACUGUUCCCUCACUGCUCUCCUGCUGCUCCCUCUCUGUCUGCAUGCUGUCCACACAUUAUCGCCACACUGUCCCAUUGCUGUCCCCACACUGUCCACACAAUGAACCCUCAUUGUAUCCACACUGUCCCCACACUGACCCCGGAUGACCUCUUACCGUCCCCUCACAGUGGGCCAGUGUCCCCACACUGUCACCUCACUGCCCCCUCUGCCCCUUCGCUGUCUUCACGCUACCCACACAUUGUGCCAUCACUGUCCCCACGCUGGCCCCAUAAUAACCCUUGAUUGUCCCCACACUGACCCCACACUAACCCACACUGUCUCUACACUGUCCCCAUUAUGACCCCACACUGUACUCUCACUGUCCCCUCACUGUCCCCACACUGUCCCCA